rnacentral:rRNA from 1 species
UACAGAGGGUGCAAGCGUUGUCCGGAAUCACUGGGCGUAAAGGGCGCGUAGGUGGCCUGAUAAGUAGGAGGUGAAAUCCUGGGGCUUAACCUCAGGGCUGCCUUCUAGACUGUCCGGCUCGAGCACAGUAGAGGCAGGUGGAAUUCCCGGUGUAGCGGUGGAAUGCGUAGAGAUCCGGAGGAACACCAGCGGCGAAGGCGGCAUCCUGGACUGGUCCUGACACUCAGGAGCGAAAGCGUGGGGAGCGAUCCGG